UUACUAUCUUUUCCAGAUGUGAACAAUCAUGCUGUUUGGAUACUUGUUCAGAGUGGAGGAACUGAAGAAAAAAUUGCUUUGCUGAAAGACUGAAGACUAGCAGAUCCAUGUUACAGUCCACGAGCCUCCUUAUGACAGAGAAUCAGCUCUAGCCGGUGGGUUCUAUGGAUUAGCUCAGGCAGUGGAUCUGAAAGGAUUUUCAGCACUCUUUCUGCUGCCAUUAGUGGUCAUCUGAUCUCACAGCAAGCUGGUUCAGAAAGCUAAACUAGAAGAAAGGUAAUUACUUUUUUUCUUUUCUUUUUCCUAAAAGGUUGAUUCUCUGCUGGUUAAA
rnacentral:lncRNA from 1 species